rnacentral:rRNA from 1 species
GAUGAACGCUGGCGGCGUGCUUAACACAUGCAAGUCGAACGGUGAAGCAGAGCUUGCUCUGUGGAUCAGUGGCGAACGGGUGAGUAACACGUGAGCAAUCUGCCCCUGACUCUGGGAUAACAGUUGGAAACAGCUGCUAAUACCGGAUACGAGCUGCGAAGGCAUCUUCGGCAGCUGGAAAGAAUUUCGGUCAGGGAUGAGCUCGCGGCCUAUCAGCUUGUUGGUGAGGUAAUGGCUCACCAAGGCGUCGACGGGUAGCCGGCCGGAGAGGGUGACCGGCCACACUGGGACUGAGACACGGCCCAGACUCCUACGGGAGGCAGCAGUGGGGAAUAUUGCACAAUGGGCGCAAGCCUGAUGCAGCAACGCCGCGUGAGGGAUGACGGCCUUCGGGUUGUAAACCUCUUUUAGCAGGGAAGAAGCGAAAGUGACGGUACCUGCAGAAAAAGCACCGGCUAACUACGUGCCAGCCGCCGCCGUAACAC